GGGGCAUAGCUCAGUGGCAGAGCACAUGCUUAGCAUGCACGUGGUCCUGGGUUCAAUUUCCAGUAGCUCCA
rnacentral:tRNA from 1 species